UGGGGAAUAUUGGACAAUGGGCGAAAGCCUGAUCCAGCAAUGCCGCGUGAGUGAUGAAGGCCCUAGGGUUGUAAAGCUCUUUUACCCGGGAAGAUAAUGACUGUACCGGGAGAAUAAGCCCCGGCUAACUCCGUGCCAGCAGCCGCGGUAAUACGGAGGGGGCUAGCGUUGUUCGGAAUUACUGGGCGUAAAGCGCGCGUAGGCGGCUUUGUAAGUUAGAGGUGAAAGCCCGGUGCUCAACCCCGGAAAUGCCUUUAAGACUGCAUCGCUUGAAUCCAGGAGAGGUGAGUGGAAUUCCGAGUGUAGAGGUGAAAUUCGUAGAUAUUCGGAAGAACACCAGUGGCGAAGGCGGCUCACUGGCCUGGUAUUGACGCUGAGGUGCGAAAGCGUGGGGAGCAAACA
rnacentral:rRNA from 1 species